UACAGAGGUCCCAAGCGUUGUUCGGAUUCAUGGUGCGUAAAGGGUGCGCAGGUGGGUUUGCAAGUUCGAUGUGAAAGCCCCGGGCUUAACCCGGGAAUGGCAUUGGAUACUGCAGAUCUGGAGGAUCGGAGGGGGGACUGGAAUUCUUGGUGUAGCAGUGAAAUGCGUAGAUAUCAAGAGGAACACCAGUGGCGAAGGCGAGUCCCUGGACGAUACCUGACACUGAGGCACGAAAGCUAGGGGAGCAAACAGG
rnacentral:rRNA from 1 species